UUAACUUUAACCGUAAAUUUAAAACAUCAAUUUUGAAGGAAGGUCGUAAAAUUGUUAAGCGAUACGGAAAAAUUCGGAAAUAAUUCUAACUACACCAACAAAAACUUUGAACCUUUACCUUUAAAAUGAGCUAUCACAUGUAUCUCUCCAAUUCACACAGCCCUGUCAAUAAUUCGACAAAGACAUCUCUGCAUUUAAACUUUGAAGAGGUGGGGAGGGGAAGGGAAAGGUGGGAUUUUUUGUCUCUUCCUCAGAUAACUAUUUCUUCGAUGUCCACAACAACCUCCAAUCACUCGUUUGCCGGAACUCGCUCGGUAAACGUUAAUUGCGUUAUCGACUACUAUUGGCAAAUAUCGACAACCGAUAGACUUACCACAUGCUUUGCAGCUCCUCAAACCCUAUCUGUAGCACGCAACAUACAACCAAUAUAAUCACCGAAAAAUAUGAGCCAUAUUUUACUCUCGAACAGCAAUGACACCUGCUGGUUCCAAACUUAGCAGCCAUCAAUUCCGUGGCUCAAACUAAAGUAAAAGAAAUUAGGACGAUCUUCCACCAGCUGACAGUUCAUCAACACGAAAUAUCCGACGAUCAUCAAUCAGUUUUCUCAAAAGUGAACAGAGGAAAAAUCAACUAACAAAUCAAGGAAGAAUCAGUUUCUUCUACCAAACUUCCACUUCCACUUGAAUUCAAAUGCAGGCAAUGCUAGAAGUUGGUCCAUUGGGAAAAGCGCAAAAUGGGUGACCGGUGUGAUAAAGCAUUGAAAUGGUUAUUGGAUUGCGAAAAACUGAUUAGCUCAUCUCUCAUGAAAUGGAAAUCCAUUUUGAUAGCCAACGAGUACAGAAACACGAAAGUAGCAUUUAAUCAAAACGUGAACACUGGAUAACAUGUCGGAAAUCAUCGCAGAUUGAAGAAGUUCGUCGCAAACAACGCAUUCUUCACCAUCGAUUUUUUUAUUUUUUACUUCGAUUCAUUUAGAAUUUACGCAGAUUCGAUGUCAAGCACGCAA